AUCCAUUGCUAACAUCCUUACCCAUUCUUCAUUCAUUCUUUAGUUCCAAGAACACUCACAGAGCACCUACUACUUUCCCAACACCGUUCCAGGCUCUGGGGUACAGCCAUGGGCAGAAGUCACUCAGCACCUGGGCCCUGCACCCAGCAUGUGCCCAAUAAAAAGCGUUCAGUGCUGACCGAAUUCUGCGUAGCCCGGGUGUGUCACUGACCCUCCCCAGGACUCAGUUUCCCCCUCUGCCUGGCAGUGGGGCAGAAUAGGCAGUCCGAUCACAGGCACAAGCCCACACAGCCCUGACCCCUGCCCUUCCUGGCUCCCAGCCCCUGAGCCUGGCUGGCAGACCCUGCCUGGAACAGAGCCCAAACUGGCCUCGGCGGGCCUCUGCAGGGGUGGGAUCACGGCAAAUCUCCUCUAAUUCUUGGAGGAAAAAACCCCAAGCCCCCCCCCCCCCCAAACUCAAUGAGGUUGACGGAUGGAACACUCUCCGUAUCUGUAUCUGCCCCCACUAUGGUGUCUAAAGCUGCCCGUUUCCCUUAAAUCCGGAGGCGCGCUGCCCCGGGCACACGGUUAUGUAACUUGCUGCCUUCGGCUAAAUGUGGCAACAUUUCCUGCUACGGGGAUAAGUUUGAGAACUCUCGGUCUCUGGAGACAGCUCCAAGUAAACUCUCAGCCUGGUGUUCAACCCUGAGCAGGACAGAGCCUGCCUCCCUCUGCUCCUGCUGCACAGUCCUCUUGCUUUCUUAGCAGCCACUCCUCCCUGCCAGCUCUCCUGCCUCUUCUGGACCAGCAGGAGGGAAGCUACUCACCGCCAUAGAAGGGUACCCACUGGUAAGUCUUCUGGGCGCCCAGGACAGGGCGGCCAUUGUAGAGGGCACACUGGAGGUCUCGGAAGGGAAUGGCCCCCAGGGGACAGUCCUGAGGACAAAGAUAGGUCCGAGGCUGGGAGAGCCCCAGGGGAGCCUGGAGAACCUGGCAGCGUGGCAAGUGUAUUUGGGGCCCUGAGCCAGGAAACAGAAGGUCUUCAAGGCCCAGCCAAGGCUCUGGGAGGCAGACAGAACUUACUGGCAAAUGGCAGAGGCGGUACUCGUGGGAGUCUCCCCAGCACAGCUCUUCCCCAGGAAACCUAGGAGCAAGAUGGCCAGAGUGUGAUCAGGACCCCCAGUAACCUUUCUAGAGCUGGCGUGCCCCCUUUGGCCUGGCCAACCCCACCCACAUUCCAGUUGGAUCAGUGGGAUUAAAAGGCACAGCGUGUGUGGGCAGGCUGAGGGUGCGGCUAGGAGUGGGGCGGGCUGGCAGGAGAGCAGGGGCAGACACCCCCCUCUCACCCCACCCCACCCCGCCAAACCCCAGCCUUGUGCUCACCAGACACAGCGCCUGGUGCGCACGGACAGACCCCGCCCACAAGAGCUGGAACAGCGACUCCAGGAACCCCACGGCAUCCACUCACCUGGACCCUACUUGGGGAGAGAGAGGCACCAUCGGCAUGGAGAGGAGCCUGGUGGCCCCAGACUGCUGGCCCUGUCCCCCACGUCCAUGGCCCCCCUGGGCCCGCGUACCCCCUCACCUGAGCACGGCCCCCCAAACCGCAGCUCACGAGGGUCCACAGCAAAAGGAGCUUCUGGAAGGGGCGGAGCGUGGGGGAGCAGCGAGGACGCUGCAGUGGGGGCACCAGCAGGCCAGGGUCUGAACCCCAGCUCUGUCCCAACUGGCUGUGUGAUUUGGGGCAGUAAUUUAACCUCUCUGGACCUCUGUUCUUGUCUCUGAAAAGUGGGGUUAUAACACAGCCCCUGUUACAGGAAAGUUUCAGGGGUCCAUCGGAUCAGGUAAGAAAGACAGGUGGUACAGAGCCUGGAAGUGGAGAGGGCGAGCUCAAAGAAUUAUCUGCUUUUGUUA